rnacentral:rRNA from 1 species
GACGAACGCUGGCGGCGUGCUUAACACAUGCAAGUCGAACGAAGAGCGAUGGAAGCUUGCUUCUAUCAAUCUUAGUGGCGAACGGGUGAGUAACGCGUAAUCAACCUGCCCUUCAGAGGGGGACAACAGUUGGAAACGACUGCUAAUACCGCAUACGAUCCAAUCUCGGCAUCGGGACUGGAUGAAAGGUGGCCUCCAUUUAUAAGCUAUCACUGAAGGAGGGGAUUGCGUCUGAUUAGCUAGUUGGAGGGGUAACGGCCCACCAAGGCGAUGAUCAGUAGCCGGUCUGAGAGGAUGAACGGCCACAUUGGGACUGAGACACGGCCCAGACUCCUACGGGAGGCAGCAGUGGGGAAUCUUCCGCAAUGGACGAAAGUCUGACGGAGCAACGCCGCGUGAGUGAUGACGGCCUUCGGGUUGUAAAGCUCUGUUAAUCGGGACGAAUGGUUCUUGUGCGAAUAGUGCGAGGAUUUGACGGUACCGGAAUAGAAAGCCACGGCUAACUACGUG